rnacentral:rRNA from 1 species
AAGCGUGCGCAGGCGGUUUUGUAAGACUGUCGUGAAAUCCCCGGGCUCAACCUGGGAAUGGCGAUGGUGACUGCAAGGCUAGAGUUUGGCAGAGGGGGGUAGAAUUCCACGUGUAGCAGUGAAAUGCGUAGAUAUGUGGAGGAACACCGAUGGCGAAGGCAGCCCCCUGGGUCAAAACUGACGCUCAUGCACGAAAGCGUGGGGAGCAAAACAGGAUUAGAUACCCGGGU